AACGAACGCUAGCGGCAGGCCUAAUACAUGCAAGUCGAACGGUGUCUUCGGACAUAGUGGCGCACGGGUGCGUAACACGUAUGCAACCUACCUUACAUUGGGGGAUAGCCUUUCGAAAGGGAGAUUAAUACCGCAUAAGACAGUAGCUGGGCAUCCAGCAGCUGUUAAAGAUUUAUCGAUGUAAGCUGGGCAUGCGUCCAAUUAGCUAGUUGGUGAGGUAACGGCUCACCAAGGCAAUGAUUGGUAGGGGAACUGAGAGGUCAAUCCCCCACACAGGAACUGAGAUACGGGCCAGACUCCUACGGGAGGCAGCAGUAGGGAAUAAUGGGCAAUGGACGCAAGUCUGACCCAGCCAUGCCGCGUGCAGGAUGAAGGCGUUAUGCGUUGUAAACUGCUUUUAUACAGGAAGAAACGACUCUUGCGAGAGGCAUUGACGGUACUGUAUGAAUAAGCACCGGCUAACUCCGUGCCAGCCGCCGCGGUAAGAC
rnacentral:rRNA from 1 species